rnacentral:rRNA from 1 species
CCUACGGGUGGCAGCAGUGGGGAAUAUUGCGCAAUGGGCGAAAGCCUGACGCAGCGACGCCGCGUGAGGGAUGAAGGUCUUCGGAUCGUAAACCUCUGUCAGCAGGGAAGAACGGUCACUGGGCUAAUCAGCAGUGAAUUGACGGUACCUGCAAAGGAAGCACCGGCUAACUACGUGCCAGCAGCCGCGGUAAUACGGAGGGGGCGAGCGUUACUCGGAAUUACUGGGCGGAAAGCGCUCGUAGGCGGUCUGUCAAGUCAAGGGUGAAAUCCCCGCGCUUAACGUGGGAACUGCCUUUGAAACUGGCAAACUGGAGUGUGUCAGAGGAUAGUGGAAUUCCAGGUGUAGUAG